GACGAACGCUGGCGGCGUGCCUAAUACAUGCAAGUCAAACGCAGUGGGGACGGGUGAGUAACACGUGGGUCACCUCCCAUCAGAGGGGAUAACACUUGGAAACAGGUGCUAAACCGCUACUGAUGGAUGGACCCGCGGUGCAUUAGCUUGUUGGUGAGGUAACGGCUCACCAGGGCCACGAUGCAUAGCGUAACUGAGAGGGUGACCGGCCACACUGGAACGGAGACACGGCCCAGACUCCUACGGGAGGCAGCAGUAGGGAAUCUUCGGCAAUGGACGAAAGUCUGACCGAGAAACGCCGCGUGGGUGAAGAAGGUUUUCGGGUCGUAAAACUCUUUUGUUAGAGAAGCGGUAUCUAACCAGAAAGCCACGGCUAACUACGUGCCAGCAGCCGCGGUAAUUC
rnacentral:rRNA from 1 species